rnacentral:snoRNA from 1 species
UGGCUAUCCUAUAAAAAAGACCUGUGUUUUCCCCACGGGGCCCAGUGUGCAGUGGCUGCCACAGCACCCUCCUCAGUAGUACAUGCAGCCCGUUGCUCUCCAGGUUGUCCUAAGGGACCUUGGAGACACCC